rnacentral:rRNA from 1 species
GAUGAACGCUGGCGGCGUGCCUAAUACAUGCAAGUCGAGCGAACGGACGAGAAGCUUGCUUCUCUGAUGUUAGCGGCGGACGGGUGAGUAACACGUGGAUAACCUACCUAUAAGACUGGGAUAACUUCGGGAAACCGGAGCUAAUACCGGAUGAUAUUUUGAACCGCAUGGUUCAAAAGUGAAAGACGGUCUUGCUGUCACUUAUAGAUGGAUCCGCGCUGCAUUAGCUAGUUGGUAAGGUAACGGCUUACCAAGGCAACGAUGUAUAGCCGACCUGAGAGGGUGAUCGGCCACACGGGAACUGAGACACGGUCCAGACUCCUACGGGAGGCAGCAGUAGGGAAUCUUCCGCAAUGGGCGAAGGCCUGACGGGGCAACGCCGCGUGAGUGAUGAAGGUCUUCGGAUCGUAAAACUCUGUUAUUAGGGAAGAACAUAUGUGGAAGUAACUGUGCACAUCUUGACGGUACCUAAUCAGAAAGCCACGGCUAACUACGUG